GAGUAGGGUAAGGCAGUAGGGUUACCUCGCCCCUUUAGUGGGGGAUAACAUUUGGAAACAGAUGCUAAUACCGCAUAAAUCCAAGAACCGCAUGGUUCUUGGCUGAAAGAUGGCGUAAGCUAUCGCUUUUGGAUGGACCCGCGGCGUAUUAGCUAGUUGGUGAGGUAACGGCUCACCAAGGCAAUGAUACGUAGCCGAACUGAGAGGUUGAUCGGCCACAUUGGGACUGAGACACGGCCCAAACUCCUACGGGAGGCAGCAGUAGGGAAUCUUCCACAAUGGACGCAAGUCUGAUGGAGCAACGCCGCGUGAGUGAAGAAGGCUUUCGGGUCGUAAAACUCUGUUGUUGGAGAAGAAUGGUCGGCAGAGUAACUGUUGUCGGCGUGACGGUAUCCAACCAGAAAGCCACGGCUAACUACGUGCCAGCAGCCGCGGUAAUACGUAGGUGGCAAGCGUUAUCCGGAUUUAUUGGGCGUAAAGCGAGCGCAGGCGGUUUUUUAAGUCUGAUGUGAAAGCCCUCGGCUUAACCGAGGAAGUGCAUCGGAAACUGGGAAACUUGAGUGCAGAAGAGGACAGUGGAACUCCAUGUGUAGCGGUGAAAUGCGUAGAUAUAUGGAAGAACACCCAUGGCGAAAGCGGCUGUCUGGUCUGUAACUGACG
rnacentral:rRNA from 2 species